AGACAGACUUAGAGUUUCUUAAAGAUUGAAAGUUUGAGUGUGAAAAAUGUCGCAGUUUCAUUGACCUGGCCCCAGCAUCGGAGAAGGAAAGAAUUCUCUUGGAUGUCACAGCAUUUAUCUUUGUCCCAAAUGUGGACCAGACCAGGAGGGGCGAGCAAGAGUAUACAUCACUUAAUUGCUCUGUGAUCAUGGGUAAGUCACAUUGCUUCUCUGAACCUGGGUUUCCCUAGUGGCUAAAUGGGACUGCUCAUGCCCUCUUCAGAGACUCAGCAG
rnacentral:lncRNA from 1 species